rnacentral:rRNA from 1 species
GAGUUUGAUCGUGGCUCAGGAUGAACGCUGGCGGCGUGCCUAAUACAUGCAAGUCGAACGAACAGAUAAGGAGCUUGCUCCUUUGACGUUAGCGGCGGACGGGUGAGUAACACGUGGGUAACCUACCUAUAAGACUGGGAAUAACUCCGGGAAACCGGGGCUAAUGCCGGAUAACAUGUUGAACCGCAUGGUUCUACAGUGAAAGACGGUCUUGCUGUCACUUAUAGAUGGACCCGCGCCGUAUUAGCUAGUUGGUGGGGUAACGGCCUACCAAGGCGACGAUACGUAGCCGACCUGAGAGGGUGAUCGGCCACACUGGAACCGAGACACGGUCCAGACUCCUACGGGAGGCAGCAGUAGGGAAUCUUCCGCAAUGGGCGAAAGCCUGACGGAGCAACGCCGCGUGAGUGAUGAAGGUCUUCGGAUCGUAAAGCUCUGUUGUUAGGGAAGAACAAAUGUGUAAGCAACUGUGCAUAUCUUGACGGUACCUAACCAGAAAGCCACGGCUAACUACGUGGCAGCCGCCGCCGUAACA